rnacentral:lncRNA from 1 species
AGAUUUGCUCUUCUGUUUAUAGUCUCAACAAAGUGAAUCUUAUAAGCAUUCAAACAUUUUAGCAGUAAUCCUUCAGGUGGUUCUGUGACCAAUGCAUUGUCAUCAAUUUCUUCUGAAUUGUCUCUCAGGAAUGUAGUACACCAGAAGAGGGUGCUGGAUCCCAUGGAGCUGGAGUUACAGGUCAUUUCGAGAUGCCUGAACUGAAUUCUGGGUCCUCUUCAAGAGUCGUAUGCAAUUUUAAUCUUUGAGCCAUCUCUCUAGCCCAAAAGUUUGAAUUGCAUUUCAUGCAUUCAUGCAUGCAUGCAUUCAUUGGGUGGGGAGGCACACAACUCACAGGUUGCAUGUUGUCAGGUGGCAUGGUGGAGAGAAAUCUGGAGGUUCCUGAAGGAUUACCUGAGCUCAGCCUUAUAUUUGGCUAUAGGUCUCUAUCUGUUUCUAUCAGUUACUGGAUGAAGACUCUCUGAUGGCAAUUGGGGUCAGUGACAUUCCAUAAGAAAAUGUCUUCAGUGCCUCAAGACUUUAAAGAGGGUCUGGAUCCAGACAAUAUAGUACCUUCACACAAAGGCAUGAAGAUGGUGAUCAGAAGUUCAAGGUUAUCUUCGGCUACAUAGUGAGUUUGGGGCCAGGACUAUAUGAGAAAAGAAGACAGCUGCAGAUCCCACUACACCAUUUAAGGCACAGAAGAAACAGCAGCUAGUCAGCAAGCCUGCAAUAAAACCUUCUCUCUCUUCAGUUACAUUGAGCAAAAAUAGAAAAGCUAUUGAAACAAAGACUAAAGAAAAUUCAAGACCGUGAGCUUCAAGUGUGACUCCUAUGGAUUUCAGUCUUCCUGAUGCUGGACCUGUUAUUCUUGUACUCCUGUAUAUCCAUGAGAGUUUUCUUCCUGUUCUGUCAAGAUAAUUUUGUGCUGAGGAGGAGGAAGUGGAGUUUUCUGUUUGGGAGCUGAAAGCCUGGAUUCUUACAUAUGUACCUUAACAUUGGUGCUGACUGUGCUAUACAAUUAACAUGUACACAGGCUUCUAUCAUCUGUAUUCCCCCAGAAAACAUCACCAAAUACAAG